UUCCUGUUGGCUCAGAUGGUAAAGAAUCUGCCUGCAAUGCAGGAGACCCAGGUUUGAUCCCUGGGUCGGGAA
rfam:TPA: Bos taurus chromosome 17, whole genome shotgun sequence.